GCGACUAAGCCGAGGGCCCCUGGAUAAGGGUUGUUGAUGGCAAAACAGGUAGAGGAAUGUCUGCGACUAAGCCGAGGGCCACUGGAUAAGGGUUGUUGAUGGCAAAACAGGUAGAGGAAUGUCUGCGACUAAGCCGAGGGCCACUGGAUAAGGGUUGUUGAUGGCAAAACAGGUAGAGGAAUGUCUGCGACUAAGCCGAGGGCCACUGGAUAAGGGUUGUUGAUGGCAAAACAGGUUAAAGACUACAUGAGACUUUGACAGAUGGCGGGAAACCCUCAUCCACUGGUAGAGGAAUGUCUGCGACUAAGCCGAGGGCCACUGGAUAAGGGUUGUUGAUGGCAAAACAGGUUAAAGACUACAUGAGACUUUGACAGAUGGCGGGAAACCCUCAUCCACUGGUACGAACCCGGUAAAUUGAUGGCUGUAAAACAGUGACCGCUGAUUCGCAUCGAGUUCUUUCUUGCAAAACGCAUGACCCCCCUUUUUUAUUGUCUAAAUCAUUGCGGCUUGGAAUGCUCUUUAAGAAAAGGUAUGGUUAUGGGGGUCU